UACGUAGGGUGCGAGCGUUGUCCGGAAUUAUUGGGCGUAAAGAGCUCGUAGGCGGUGUGUCACGUCGUUCGUGAAAACCUGCAGCUUAACUGUGGGCGUGCGGUCGAUACGGGCAUCACUGGAGUUCGGCAGGGGAGACUGGAAUUCCUGGUGUAGCGGUGAAAUGCGCAGAUAUCAGGAGGAACACCGGUGGCGAAGGCGGGUCGCUGGGACGUUACUGACGCUGAGACGCGAAAGCGUGGGGAGCGAACAGG
rnacentral:rRNA from 1 species